rnacentral:rRNA from 1 species
GACGAACGCUGGCGGCGUGCUUAACACAUGCAAGUCGAGCGGAGCGGCGAACGGGUGAGUAACGCGUGAGUAACUGCCCCCCUCUCUGUGAUAACAGUUGGACACGGCUGCUAAUACCGGAUAGUGGGGUAUGACUCGCGUCCUAUCAGCUUGUGGGUGGGGUAGUGGCCUACCAAGGCGCAGACGGGUAGCCGGCCUGCGAGGGGGUCCGGACACAUUGGGCUGCGAUACGGCCCAAACUCCUACGGGACGCAGCAGGGGGGAAUAUUGCACAAUGGGGGAAACCCUGAUGCAGCAACGCGCGGGCGGGAUGACGGCCUUCGGGUUGUAAACCGCUUUCAGCCAUGACGCGGUAGUGGCAGAAGAAGCACAGGCUAACUACGUGCCAGCAGCCGCGGUAAUUC